UCAUCUUUUUUUCUCUAUGACCGUUUGAAGAAGACCGUUUGAAGAACAAUUAUAACGUUCCAAGUCUCUCUCUCUGAUUUCUCUCGUUAUUUCGAAUCCCUAAAUUUUUAUUUUCGGCAAACAUCUGAAGAAGUUUAUGAUCACCGACGAUUGUUUUCUCCGGCGACUAUUCGACGAUCAGACAAUCGAUUCCCUAAUUAAGAUGGUUUUGAAAGAUCAUUAACGAUCGCGAGACUUUACGAUUGAGGGGAUUUUGUUUGGAUGGUCGUAGCAUCACCGACGGUGGAGGAUGGCGGUAGAUACGGAGGGCGGUGGAGAGCCGUGAGGGAUGAAGUUACGGAGGAAGCGGUGGUCGUGGCUGGUAAUCGUAACAAAAUCGUUGAAGUCUUCUUUGCCUGAAAGAAGAAGAAGAAGACGGUUUAUCUUCGCUCUUUGUGAUUCGAGUUUCUCUUGAUUGUUUUUGGUAGGAUGUCAAUCUAUUCACUUUCUGGACGGAGGAG
rnacentral:sRNA from 1 species